rnacentral:sRNA from 1 species
UGACACUGCGCAGGCCCGCGGGUUGGUCGC